rnacentral:rRNA from 1 species
ACUCCUGCGGGAGGCAGCAGUGGGGAAUAUUGGACAAUGGGCGCAAGCCUGAUCCAGCCAUGCCGCGUGAGUGAUGAAGGCCCUAGGGUUGUAAAGCUCUUUCACCGGUGAAGAUAAUGACGGUAACCGGAGAAGAAGCCCCGGCUAACUUCGUGCCAGCAGCCGCGGUAAUACGAAGGGGGCUAGCGUUGUUCGGAUUUACUGGGCGUAAAGCGCACGUAGGCGGACUAUUAAGUCAGGGGUGAAAUCCCGGGGCUCAACCCCGGAACUGCCUUUGAUACUGGUAGUCUUGAGUUCGAGAGAGGUGAGUGGAAUUCCGAGUGUAGAGGUGAAAUUCGUAGAUAUUCGGAGGAACACCAGUGGCGAAGGCGGCUCACUGGCUCGAUACUGACGCUGAGGUGCGAAAGCGUGGGGAGCAAACAGGAUUAGAAACCCCUGUAGUCCCAUGAU